rnacentral:lncRNA from 1 species
CCAUAUCUGGAGUCCGUUUGGGGCUCCGAAGAGGGGAAUCUUCGGUCUUCAUCAUCACCAACCCUCCUUCAUCACCAAUUCCAUGAUGCUCCCCACUGGAGUGAGUAAUUCUAUCGUAGGCUCGCUGGUCAGUGAGGAGUUGGAUUAGAUUCAUCAUGUAAUUGAGUUAGUUUUGUUAGGGCUUGAUCCCUAGUAUCCAUCAUGUUCUGAGAUUGAUGUUUCUAUGACUUUGCCAUGCUUAAUGCUUGUCACUUUGGGCCCGGGUGCCAUGAUAUCAGAUCUGAACUGUUUAU